GCAUAUCAAUAAGCGGAGGAAAAGAAACCAACAGGGAUUGCCUCAGUAGCGGCGAGUGAAGCGGCAAAAGCUCAAAUUUGAAAUCUGGCGUCUUUGGCGUCCGAGUUGUAAUUUGAAGAAGGUAUCUUUGGGCCCGGCUCUUGUCUAUGUUCCUUGGAACAGGACGUCACAGAGGGUGAGAAUCCCGUGCGAUGAGAUGACCCGGGUCUGUGUAAAGUUCCUUCGACGAGUCGAGUUGUUUGGGAAUGCAGCUCUAAGUGGGUGGUAAAUUCCAUCUAAAGCUAAAUAUUGGCGAGAGACCGAUAGCGAACAAGUACAGUGAUGGAAAGAUGAAAAGAACUUUGAAAAGAGAGUGAAAAAGUACGUGAAAUUGUUGAAAGGGAAGGGCUUGAGAUCAGACUUGGUAUUUUGCAUGCUGCUCUCUCGGGGGCGGCCGCUGCGGUUUACCGGGCCAGCAUCGGUUUGGAGCGGCAGGAUAAUGGCGGAGGAAUGUGGCACGGCUUCUGCUGUGUGUUAUAGCCUCUGACGAUACUGCCAGCCUAGACCGAGGACUGCGGUUUUUACCUAG
rnacentral:rRNA from 1 species